UACGAAGGGGGGCUAGCGUUGCUCGGAAUCACUGGGCGUAAAGCGCACGUAGGCGGAUUUGUUAGUCAGGGGUGAAAUCCCGAGGCUCAACCUCGGAACUGCCUUUGAUACUGCAAAUCUCGAGUCCGGAAGAGGUGAGUGGAAUUCCUAGUGUAGAGGUGAAAUUCGUAGAUAUUAGGAAAGAACACCAGUGGCGAAGGCGGCUUACUGGUCCGGUUCUGACGCUGAGGUGCGAAAGCGA
rnacentral:rRNA from 1 species